GUGAAAAAGAACCUGAAACCGUGUACGUACAAGCAGUGGGAGCACGCUUAGGCGUGUGACUGCGUACCUUUUGUAUAAUGGGUCAGCGACUUAUAUUCUGUAGCAAGGUUAACCGAAUAGGGGAGCCGAAGGGAAACCGAGUCUUAACUGGGCGUUAAGUUGCAGGGUAUAGACCCGAAACCCGGUGAUCUAGCCAUGGGCAGGUUGAAGGUUGGGUAACACUAACUGGAGGACCGAACCGACUAAUGUUGAAAAAUUAGCGGAUGACUUGUGGCUGGGGGUGAAAGGCCAAUCAAACCGGGAGAUAGCUGGUUCUCCCCGAAAGCUAUUUAGGUAGCGCCUCGUGAAUUCAUCUCCGGGGGUAGAGCACUGUUUCGGCAAGGGGGUCAUCCCGACUUACCAACCCGAUGCAAACUGCGAAUACCGGAGAAUGUUAUCACGGGAGACACACGGCGGGUGCUAACGUCCGUCGUGAAGAGGGAAACAACCCAGACCGCCAGCUAAGGUCCCAAAGUCAUGGUUAAGUGGGAAACGAUGUGGGAAGGCCCAGACAGCCAGGAUGUUGGCUUAGAAGCAGCCAUCAUUUAAAGAAAGCGUAAUAGCUCACUGGUCGAGUCGGCCUGCGCGGAAGAUGUAACGGGGCUAAACCAUGCACCGAAGCUGCGGCAGCGACGCUUAUGCGUUGUUGGGUAGGGGAGCGUUCUGUAAGCCUGCGAAGGUGUGCUGUGAGGCAUGCUGGAGGUAUCAGAAGUGCGAAUGCUGACAUAAGUAACGAUAAAGCGGGUGAAAAGCCCGCUCGCCGGAAGACCAAGGGUUCCUGUCCAACGUUAAUCGGGGCAGGGUGAGUCGACCCCUAAGGCGAGGCCGAAAGGCGUAGUCGAUGGGAAACAGGUUAAUAUUCCUGUACUUGGUGUUACUGCGAAGGGGGGACGGAGAAGGCUAUGUUGGCCGGGCGACGGUUGUCCCGGUUUAAGCGUGUAGGCUGGUUUUCCAGGCAAAUCCGGAAAAUCAAGGCUGAGGCGUGAUGACGAGGCACUACGGUGCUGAAGCAACAAAUGCCCUGCUUCCAGGAAAAGCCUCUAAGCAUCAGGUAACAUCAAAUCGUACCCCAAACCGACACAGGUGGUCAGGUAGAGAAUACCAAGGCGCUUGAGAGAACUCGGGUGAAGGAACUAGGCAAAAUGGUGCCGUAACUUCGGGAGAAGGCACGCUGAUAUGUAGGUGAAGUCCCUUGCGGAUGGAGCUGAAAUCAGUCGAAGAUACCAGCUGGCUGCAACUGUUUAUUAAAAACACAGCACUGUGCAAACACGAAAGUGGACGUAUACGGUGUGACGCCUGCCCGGUGCCGGAAGGUUAAUUGAUGGGGUCAGCGCAAGCGAAGCUCUUGAUCGAAGCCCCGGUAAACGGCGGCCGUAACUAUAACGGUCCUAAGGUAGCGAAAUUCCUUGUCGGGUAAGUUCCGACCUGCACGAAUGGCGUAAUGAUGGCCAGGCUGUCUCCACCCGAGACUCAGUGAAAUUGAACUCGCUGUGAAGAUGCAGUGUACCCGCGGCAAGACGGAAAGACCCCGUGAACCUUUACUAUAGCUUGACACUGAACAUUGAGCCUUGAUGUGUAGGAUAGGUGGGAGGCUUUGAAGUGUGGACGCCAGUCUGCAUGGAGCCGGCCUUGAAAUACCACCCUUUAAUGUUUGAUGUUCUAACGUGGACCCGUGAUCCGGGUUGCGGACAGUGUCUGGUGGGUAGUUUGACUGGGGCGGUCUCCUCCUAAAGAGUAACGGAGGAGCACGAAGGUUGGCUAAUCCUGGUCGGACAUCAGGAGGUUAGUGCAAUGGCAUAAGCCAGCUUGACUGCGAGCGUGACGGCGCGAGCAGGUGCGAAAGCAGGUCAUAGUGAUCCGGUGGUUCUGAAUGGAAGGGCCAUCGCUCAACGGAUAAAAGGUACUCCGGGGAUAACAGGCUGAUACCGCCCAAGAGUUCAUAUCGACGGCGGUGUUUGGCACCUCGAUGUCGGCUCAUCACAUCCUGGGGCUGAAGUAGGUCCCAAGGGUAUGGCUGUUCGCCAUUUAAAGUGGUACGCGAGCUGGGUUUAGAACGUCGUGAGACAGUUCGGUCCCUAUCUGCCGUGGGCGCUGGAGAACUGAGGGGGGCUGCUCCUAGUACGAGAGGACCGGAGUGGACGCAUCACUGGUGUUCGGGUUGUCAUGCCAAUGGCACUGCCCGGUAGCUAAAUGCGGAAGAGAUAAGUGCUGAAAGCAUCUAAGCACGAAACUUGCCCCGAGAUGAGUUCUCCCUGACCCUUUAAGGGUCCUGAAGGAACGUUGAAGACGACGACGUUGAUAGGCCGGGUGUGUAAGCGCAGCGAUGCGUUGAGCUAACCGGUACUAAUGAACCGUGAGGCUUAACCUUACAACGCCGAAG
rnacentral:rRNA from 1 species